AGUUGUAACUGAAUAUUAAUAACAGGAACAAGUGCAAAGUUAAUGAAGAAACCGCAAAACUGCGAAAUGAAUAAUCAGCAGUUUCAGAUGCACCGGAAUUUUGCAUAACUCCUAUAUAUAUUUCACAGCAAACCGACACUUCCUAGCAUCCCAUUGUCAUACAAGAAAAAGUUGUAAAUUUUUGUGUGUACCAAGCUACUAACAAUAAAUGAUGGCUAACCAAAAGACCAGGUUUUGCAACGCAAUAUUGAUCCUGGUCAUUUCGAUGAUUUUGGCAAACAAAUAUUGCGAGAGCGACAUUCGAUAUUGGCAGCAAUCCAUGCGUAAAAGCAAUGGGAGGAGUAGAAUUGGGGUGUCCAAAUGAGGUGAUGAAUGCAUUCUGGAGGCUUGAAGCAGGAAUGCUGAGUAAACAAUGUUGUGAGGAGUAUCUCAAAGUAGACGAUGAUUGUUGGACAAAAGCCUUCCCUUACAACCCCUUUUUCCCUCCAUUCAUCAAGGCCUAUUGCCAAAUCAAACUUCACAACUGACACACAGUCCAUUACUACGAGGAUUUAUCAGUGAAAGUCGAACCGGGUGUCCAAAUACAAUCGAGGUUUAUUAUUUGCACCAUCAUUUAAAAUAAAAUUGUAAUUUAGCACACCAAUUCUAAAACGAAUAUUUCAAAACCAAUACAAGGUAUAUUAACGUACACGGAACAGAGGUGGUGUCGGCCGCAAAUUGUGACUAGAUAAUGAAAUGUACGUUUUAUUUUGAAUUUGGUUUUUUCUGUUCGUUUUUUGUAAGUGCAAAUAGAUCGGAAAGACUAAUAUAAAU
rnacentral:lncRNA from 1 species